UACGUAGGCAGCGAGCGUUGCUCGGAAUCACUGGGCGUAAAGGGUGCGUAGGCGGGUCUUUAAGUCAGGGGUGAAAUCCUGGAGCUCAACUCCAGAACUGCCUUUGAUACUGAAGAUCUUGAGUUCGGGAGAGGUGAGUGGAACUGCGAGUGUAGAGGUGAAAUUCGUAGAUAUUCGCAAGAACACCAGUGGCGAAGGCGGCUCACUGGCCCGAUACUGACGCUGAGGCACGAAAGCGUGGGGAGCAAACAGG
rnacentral:rRNA from 1 species